AUUGAACGCUGGCGGCAGGCCUAACACAUGCAAGUCGAACGGUAACAGGAAGAAGCUUGCUUCUUUGCUGACGAGUGGCGGACGGGUGAGUAAUGUCUGGGAAACUGCCUGAUGGAGGGGGAUAACUACUGGAAACGGUAGUUAAUACCGCAUAACGUCGCAAGCCCAAAGAGGGGGACCUUCGGGCCUCUUGCCAUCGGAUGUGCCCAGAUGGGAUUAGCUAGUAGGUGGGGUAACGGCUCACCUAGGCGACGAUCCCUAGCUGGUCUGAGAGGAUGACCAGCCACACUGGAACUGAGACACGGUCCAGACUCCUACGGGAGGCAGCAGUGGGGAAUAUUGCGCAAUGGGCGAAAGCCUGAUGCAGCCAUGCCGCGUGUAUGAAGAAGGCCUUCGGGUUGUAAAGUACUUUCAGCGGGGAGGAAGGAAGUAAAGUUAAUACCUUUGCUCAUUGACGUUACCCGCAGAAGAAGCACCGGCUAACUACGUG
rnacentral:rRNA from 1 species